CCUCACAUACCGGAAGUUUUUUUCCCCGUUUUUUCCCCUUUUUUUUAGUUACAAAACAUUAAUCGAUUUUCUUUGAAAUCAUGGCCCAACAACCACAUGGAUUGUAACUUUUAAAACAUAUUUAUUCUACGUUACCUCCUUCACCUCGGGUGCCGGCGGCUUUGUUCGUUUCUUUGGGAUUGGUCUGACCUUGAAUGGUUUAUCAGAUAUUUCUAACCAGUAGCCCUCAAUUUCGUGUCGCCUUUUUAACACACAAUCCAAAUCUGCAAAAAAG